AACGCACCUUGCACUCUCUGGUAUUCCGGAGAGUACGCCUGUUUGAGUGUCAUGAAACUCUCACUCCUCAUCUUUCUUUAUUGAGAGGUAGGGACGUGGAUUUGGAUCUGUUGCUGGUGAAUCUGAUUCAUCGGCUCGUCCGAAAUAUAUUAGCUGGAUCCUCUUUGUCAAUUGGUUCUACUCGACGUAAUAAGUAUUUCGUCGAGGACGGUCUUCGGAUCGGCCGAUAGAAAGAGUCUUUUUUUAGAUCCGCUUCUAAUCCGUGCGAUUUUAUUAUCCACACACUUUUUAUGAUCUGGCCUCAAAUCAGGUGGGACUACCCGCUGAACUUAA
rnacentral:misc_RNA from 2 species